rnacentral:rRNA from 1 species
GAUGAACGCUGGCGGCGUGCCUAAUACAUGCAAGUCGAGCGAACGGACGAGAAGCUUGCUUUUCUGAUGUUAGCGGCGGACGGGUGAGUAACACGUGGAUAACCUACCUAUAAGACUGGGAUAACUUCGGGAAACCGGAGCUAAUACCGGAUAAUAUUUUGAACCGCAUGGUUCAAAAGUGAAAGACGGUCCUGCUGUCACUUAUAGAUGGAUCCGCGCUGCAUUAGCUAGUUGGUAAAGUAACGGCUUACCAAGGCAACGAUGCAUAGCCGACCUGAGAGGGUGAUCGGCCACACUGGAACUGAGACACGGUCCAGACUCCUACGGGAGGCAGCAGUAGGGAAUCUUCCGCAAUGGGCGAAAGCCUGACGGAGCAACGCCGCGUGAGUGAUGAAGGUCUUCGGAUCGUAAAACUCUGUUAUUAGGGAAGAACAUAUGUGUAAGUAACUGUGCACAUCUUGACGGUACCUAAUCAGAAAGCCACGGCUAACUACGUG